rnacentral:rRNA from 1 species
CCUANGGGGGGCAGCAGUCGGGAAUUUUGCUCAAUGGGGGAAACCCUGAAGCAGCAACGCCGCGUGAGGGAUGAAGGCCUUCGGGUUGUAAACCUCUUUUCUCAGGGACGAUAAUGACGGUACCUGAGGAAUAAGCCACGGCUAACUACGUGCCAGCAGCCGCGGUAAUACGUAGGUGGCAAGCGUUGUCCGGAUUUACUGGGCGUAAAGAGCGCGCAGGCGGUCGAGUAAGUCGAAUGUGAAAGCCCCCGGCUCAACUGGGGAUCGUCAUUCGAUACUGUUCGACUUGAAGAUGGGAGAGGGAAGCGGAAUUUCAGGUGUAGUGGUGAAAUGCGUAGAUAUCUGAAGGAACACCAGUGGCGAAGGCGGCUUUCUGGCCCACUCUUGACGCUGAGGCGCGAAAGCUAGGGGAGCGAACGGGAUUAGAUACCCUANUANUC